GGUUCUGUAUCGUAGUGGUCCUCAUGUCUGCUUUACAUGCAGAAGGUCCUGGGUUCAAGUCCCAGCAGAAUCA